rnacentral:tRNA from 1 species
UCCCUGAUGGUCCAAUGGUUAGGAUGCUGUGCUUUCACUGCCAAGGGUAUGGGUUCAAUUCCCGGUCAGGGAG